AUCUGACCAACUGUGUGUUGAAAUCCUGCUAGGAGUUGAUCUUUAGUGACACCGUGCCAGUGCAUAAAGGAGAAGUGCUGCUUCACAUUUCUCUUGUAAAUAUCCACUCGAAAUCAAGUGGAUUUCACUACUAAUAUGUCAUUUUACUUAAUGCUUAAAUGUAAUUUACAGUACACAUAUUGUAAUUUAGCUCCUUUUAACAAAGUAAUCUGAUCAACAGCAAAAAAAAAAAAAAAAAAAAAAAAAAAAAAAGAAGAAGAAGAAGAAAGCUAAAAGAACAUUUCAGAGACCAGCUCAGUGAUCCGGAUUCUCCUGAUGGGCAGAAAUGGUUCUGGGAAAAGCUCAUCAGGAGGAAACACUAUGCUUGUUGAAACAAGGUUUAAAGAGCACGAGUCUGAAGUGUGUGAUGGUAAAACACAGAUUGGAGAGAAACAGGUGCAUGUGAUUAUUUCUCCAGAUCUACUGGAUCCAGAUCUGAAUAAAGAGAAGCUGGAGAUGAUGAAAGAGCAGCUGGUCUCUGGAUGCUCAGCAGGUCUCAGUUCAGUUCUGCUCACCGUUCCUCUAGAAGAACCUGUGGGAAAUGAGGAAGAGAUCCUGGAUUUCAUUAAGUGUUUAUUUGGUCCUGAAGUUCAGAAAUACAUCAUGAUUCCGUUCACACAUGGAGAUGAGCUGGAGGAUCUGGAACAGGCAUUGAUGAACAUCUAAAACUGAAAGAUCGUGCUGAUCUCUAGCAACUGUUGACUGAAUUUUGCGGAAGAUUUUACUGUUUUAAUAUCAAGAGUAAAUCAGACAAUCAGGUACAAGAAGUACUGCAGAAGAUCAAAGGAAUGAUGAUGGAAAAUGGUGGGAGAUUUAUCAUGGAACAAAUGAAGAGGAGCAACAGUCAAUAUUGUCAGUUUGAUCUGACAGCUGAAGAUCCAGAUUCAUCAAGUUCCUGAGAGGAAAGAUCAGAUCAGGCUGAUGUAGCUGGGAAAACAGGAUCUGGGAAAGGGCCACUGGAAACACCAUCAUCGGAAGAAAUGUGUUUGAAUCUUC